rnacentral:lncRNA from 1 species
GGGAUUUCUUCUCGAUCUUCGUCUGACAGCGCCGAUCCUCUCCCUCCGGCCGAUUUCGCGCUGUUACAGAUGGUUAACUUAAAAAAUAACAGUGCUUAUGACUUAAAUGCUAGCUCUGGUCAUAAAAUGAAGAAAUAACAGGCAUAUUCGUUGAUGUAUAUUUUUUCCAGGGAACCAUGAGAAACUUUCUCUUUCGUCCUAGAGAAACUCUGGCAUACCGUCGUUAUAUUGAAUUUUUUGAUAAAUCGAGAAGAUCAUUCAGCACACAAGCUAAAUCCCAAGUCGAACCUCCGCCGCCAUCACCGCCACCUGAGAAAACACACUUUGGUAAUUUGAAAGAUGAAGACCGAAUCUUCACCAAUCUCCAUGGUGUAUUUAAUCCUUAUCUCAAAGGAGCCGUCCAGCGCGGUGACUGGUAUAGAACGAAGGAUUUGGUUCUGAAAGGUUCAGAUUGGAUUGUGGAUGAAAUGAAGAAAUCCGGCCUACGGGGUCGAGGAGGUGCUGGAUUCCCAUCUGGUCUGAAGUGGUCUUUCAUGCCAAAAGUAUCCGACGGACGUCCUUCGUAUCUUGUCGUGAAUGCCGAUGAAAGUGAACCAGGGACCUGCAAAGAUCGGGAGAUAAUGCGUCACGAUCCUCACAAACUACUUGAGGGAUGCUUGAUCGCUGGAGUUGGGAUGAGAGCAUCUGCAGGUUACAUCUACAUUAGAGGUGAGUACGUGAACGAGCGUAAGAACCUUGAGAAGGCCAGGAAAGAAGCUUAUAAAGCUGGAUUGUUGGGGAAAAAUGCAUGUGGAUCUGGAUAUGAUUUCGAUGUUUACAUUCAUUAUGGUGCCGGAGCCUACAUUUGUGGUGAAGAGACGGCCCUAUUAGAGAGUCUCGAAGGAAAGCAAGGCAAACCGAGAUUAAAGCCUCCCUUUCCUGCCAAUGCCGGUUUAUACGGUUGUCCCACAACCGUUACCAAUGUGGAAACUGUAGCUGUGUCGCCUACUAUUCUCAGACGUGGGCCCGAAUGGUUUGCUAGUUUUGGUCGUAAGAACAAUUCAGGGACCAAGCUUUUUUGCAUCUCCGGUCAUGUGAACAAACCAUGCACAGUUGAAGAAGAAAUGAGCAUACCGUUGAAGGAGCUUUUAGAAAGACACUGCGGUGGGGUUCGAGGUGGGUGGGACAAUCUACUUGCCGUGAUACCUGGAGGUUCAUCCGUCCCUCUUUUACCAAAACACAUUUGCGAUGAUGUGAUGAUGGACUUUGAUGCCCUGAAGGCUGUAGAGUCAGGAUUGGGGACAGCAGGUGUUAUUGUGCUGGACAAAUCUUGUGAUGUGGUUGAUGCAAUUGCGAGGCUAUCUUAUUUCUACAAGCACGAGAGUUGUGGGCAGUGCACACCAUGCAGGGAAGGGACUGGAUGGUUGUGGAUGAUCAUGGAGAGGUUGAAAGUGGGAAAUGCGAAGCUUGAGGAAAUUGAUAUGCUUCAGGAAAUAACGAAACAGAUUGAAGGGCACACAAUUUGUGCACUAGGAGACGCUGCCGCAUGGCCUGUGCAGGGUCUUAUAAGGCAUUUCAGGCCGGAACUUGAGAGGCGUAUUCGAGAACGUGCUGAGAAAGAGUUGGCUGAAGUUGCUACUGCUUCUGUCUAAAUCUAUUCGUUCAAUGCUCAUAAUAUUAUUCCAUACUUGCCUAAUUUCAUUAUUUAUUUAUUACUUAUCUAUCUAUAUUUUUUUCCCAUUCUUCAACCUUGAUAUGUAAAAAACAGUGGAUUGCUGUUUUUUUUGUUAAAUAAUUAUUUUUGAAAACUUGAAGCUAGAAUCAAUUGUCUUUUUUUCAAUCAUCUUGGUCUGUUCAUCUUUGACCAACAGAACUGAUGAGCAAAUAACCUUGAAAGUAGAGGAAUUUGUGAUGGCAAUCUUGGAAACAGUGUGAUGAUUAGAAAGUAAUUUUUGAAUUCCAACAGCAUUUGCUUCUGAAAUUGGGGCUUCCAGCUGAUGUUCAAUUUCUGAUACACCAAUGCAAAAAGCAAUCAAUAUUAUCUGUUAUUCUAUCUAUGCUUUACAUUCAUUUCAGCAAUGAAUGAUGAAUAUAUUCUCUUCCACAGACAUUUUUUAAUCAACCUCUGUUUUCUGCAACAUGAUAGGAAUUUGAGAAUGAGUUUUUCAAAGUGCUGCAAUUACAUCUAAUCUCAGUCAGAAAAGCUCAUCUUCCUUAACUCCCUCCCUUUACCCUAUUCUUCUCUGGUCUCAUCAAGGAGGUGCAAACUAAUCAAGCUUUGAACUAUGAAGCUAAGCUGGAACUGGUGAAGCUUGAGUUAGGUUGGUUUUACAAAAACUGGUCAAUGUAAAGGAUUUAAUUGACAAUUUUAGGUAUUUUAAUCUUUUGCACUUAUUAAUUUCAGUUUUAUCAUAUCAAUUCCUAUAAUUUGACUUUGAAUUUUCUGUUCAAUAGUUUUAGUUUGACUUCCCCAAAAAUAUCUAAUUUUAAGUUAUUUGUGGAUUUGUAUCUUAAAUUUUAUCUCAAGUAAUCUCAUUCCAAUUCUUACACACCACAUGUAAAUGAUCUGCAAUUUUGGAAGACUUUUUUUUCAAAAUCACUUACCCACAAAAUAAAAACAUAGCAAUUUGCAAGGAGUGCUUCUCAAGUCAAAGGAGUUUGAGGAGUUUAAAGUAAAAAUUGUAAAAAAAUCAUUAGAAAAGUUAUAAUAGUUAUUUAUGGCACAUUUGUUCUGAAAAAAACAGAAGACUCCACCAGCAUCCUCUCAUACUUCCAGAAGUUGUUUUAACUGAUGUAGUAAAGGACUGCAGAAUAUCUUUUAGAGCUGAUAUCUUUAAAAAAGAAUGUGAUUCACAAUUAGUAAGAACUACUAUGCAGGUUUGGAAGACAACUCUUUUGAGAUCUAAUUCUUAGUUAGUGCAUUAGAAAUGCUAACCACAUAGGAAAAGGUCGAUACAGUGGAAAUCACAAUAUUAACCUUACCAAUUCUUUCGUUGAUUUUAAAUUUAAUGGUUCUUUUGAAAUGAUUAAAUAUAAACAGAUUUUAAUGUUUGAAAUGGACAACUAAAAUUAGUGUAAAUCUAUUAUCUAAAUGUUUUAAAUAGACAAUUGAGGUAAUAUGAGAUAUAAAUGAAUGGUGAUGAUUGAAUGAUUUGGUAUAAUCUUAUUUAUCACUAUUAUUAUAAUAAUUUUAAUUGGUUCUCUAUUUGUUUAACGUCUAGGGUUUCUAUCUUUUUGCCGCACUCUUAUUCCACCUCCUUUUAUCUCGUUCAUCUUCCCCCUUUUCGAUUUCCCUUCCGGAGUUCCCAAUCUCACAUGGCGUUGUCGCCCUCCACCAAUUCAAUAACAAUAACAACAACAACCAGAGCUGCGUAUACCUCUUCAAUUCUUUCUCGUUGCUUCUCCGACGAUCUAUCUUCCUCCUUAGCUUUUCGUGUUCGACGUGCUUGGUCUUAAUUCGCGUGGAAAUCUCCUCCUGUUCGGUUGCGUUCUCCUCUUCCUUGCGCUAUGGGUAAAAAAAGUGAGUGUUCCUUUUUUUUUAUCAAUAUAACGUCAGUUGUAGAUUCGGAUUUCGUAUUUGGUUUUAUGAUGGUGUUUUUGUUCGGUCGGUUAAUUGAUUGAUUAUGGACACAGAUCGGAAAACCCGUAGUGCAGUGAAUUAUCCUGAUAUUAUCAGUGAUGAUGAUAGCAUGAGUACGAUCUCUACUGCAUGGUCUGAGCAGUCGACGUUUGGUAAUAAUAAUGAGACAGAGCUGGUUAAUUCUCGCCAGUUUGAACUUGACAAGCAUCUCGAUGCUCUGUACGAGAAACGGUAAUUCUUCUUCUUUAAAUAUUUUUACUGACAGAAAAAAGAUAUACUUCAAGAUUCUAUAUAGCAGUCAUACAUGUAAAUAUGUAAAGACACUUCUUUUUAUCUAAUACACUGAGAACUGCUCAAAAUCGUUGCCUCCCCAAUAUCCUUAAAAUAAAAGAACCACUUACCUUGACAAUUUGCAUCUCUUUUAUGGGUCAUAUGAUAUAUAGCCAUCAUGUUCUAUUGUGUUGAAUUAGUUUCCUUUACCAAAAAUAAUACGAUAAAAAACCCAGUAUAGCAUAUAAUGAGAGCAUAACAUUUUUUUAUGACGCAAUUUUACCUACCAUGUGAUUAAAUCAUGGAAAUUGAAACACAUCUAUUUUUUAUAUUUUGGCAGAAGCUCGACCAGAGAAAAUGCACUCUUGGGACUUGUCAAAGCUUUUGAGAGUGAAAUUCUUCAUGAAUUUGUCGAGAACAAGUAAUAAACUUUUUUAUGGUUAUUCCUAUUUCCUAGUGUUUUAAUGAUAUAUAUUAUUGGCUUUAUUGUGUCACCUGUGUUUUAUUACCAUUCCAUCACUUAGUGUUUUUCAGUGAUGAUGUAAUUGAUACUUUUCCUUUUCAUCUUUUUUUGUAAUGUUGUGUUGUGCAUUUCCUUUCAGAUAUGCUACUUUAUUACAUCAGUUCAUCAACUCUAUAAAGAGGGGGUCGUCCAAAGAAGUUUCUCUAGCUUCACGUGCAAUUGGUUUUCUUCUUGAUCAUUAUGUUGUGUUAUUUCCACCUUCCUUUUAUUUUUGCUCUUCAUUCAUUUCACUUUUUCCUGAAUGCAGGAUUUCUGGCUAUUACUGUUGGAAGUGGUAGCAAUGCACAUGAAAUCAUGACAGAUGCAGUUCAACAUCUCCAUCAAACUCUCAAAUCUGGAUCUGACCCAAGCAAGAAAUCAUCUGUAUGUUAUGUAUACCCUUCCUGAUGUUGACCAAAAUCGGGAAAGUUAUUCAGGCGAUAAUAUAUUAUUCUCUAUAUUCUAAUUAUUCUGUUUAAUAAUUUUCCAGGCUAUUGAAUGCAUAGCUAUUAUUUCUUUUGUUGGGGCCGAUGAUGUGGAAGAAACUGAAAAGUCAAUGCAAAUCAUCUGGGAAAUAAUCAAUCCUAAAUCAGCUUCUAAUGUACAAUGACUUAGAAUAUAUCUUUGAUCUUAGUUCAAUUUUUGAUUGAAUAUCCCAAUAAUCCCAUUCUUUUCUCUUUUCAGGUUACAUUAACGAAGCCCACAUCUGCUGUACUAUCAUCUGCCAUAUUUGCAUGGUCCUUUCUGCUUACUACUGUAAAUCAAUGGAGGAGCAAUUUUACUAAUUGGCAGGGGUAGGUACACUUUAAGUUUCCUAUGUUUUGCAUAUUUUAUAUUUAAAAUCUAAUAUUUUUGUAAUCUAUUUUAACCAGGUCAAUAUCAUUUCUCUCCAAUCUUUUGGAUAAGGAAGAUCGUUCUGUUCGCAUUGCUGCUGGAGAAGCACUUGCCCUUAUCUUUGAAAUAAAUAGAUUUGAAAAAUUCACAAAGGUAAAUGACUCAGAACACCAAGGAGGUAGUAAGCUACCUCAUGAUGGUCUUGCGUAUGUUGAUGUUUUGAAAGGUAAGUUAUUGACCCAAGCAAGAAACCUCUCAAUGGAAGCUGGGGGAAAAGGUUCUACUCGAACUGAUCUCAAUAAUCAACGAGAUCUAUUCCAACGCAUUCUUUCCUUUAUAGAGGUAUAAUUUUUUUCUUAUUUCUUUAUAAUGAAUAUUUAGUUAUUUACUCAACUUUAUAAUGAAUAUAGUUUAUUGAAUUGUUUCUUAAAUUCGACAACAUUCAGACUGGGGAGUUUGAUGAACUCUCGGUGAAAGUCCUUCCUAAUUGCAGUCUAUUGAAGCUAUCAUCGUGGGCUCAAUCUACACAGGUAUAAUUUUUUUAAGGUCCAAACAUAUGCGGUUAUUUCAUUUUUUGUAGUUUUUCUGGGUUACAAUUUGAAGGUUUCUCUAUUUGGCAGUUGAACUUUCUUAAGAGAUUCCUUGGAAGUGGUUAUCUCAUGCAUAUGACGGUAAUUUUCUUAGUGUUUAAAAUUUAGGCUAAUUAAUUUUUUUUUUAAAUCCUGAUACAACUAUUAUUUAUUUUGUAGGAUAAUAGUCUUCUUCAUGAAGUUUUUAACUACACCCCGGAGAAAAGAAAAAAUUUAUCUGUGAAGGAAAAGGUAAUAUAUUGAUGUUUUACUUUUUAUUCGUAUUUUUUGUAAAAAAUAGAUGUAGCCUUUCUUUGAAAGGUUAAAACCUUUAGAUAUAUACCAGGGUUCACUUAAUAUAAUACCAUGGGUAGUUUUAAAGUGUGUAUGUAUUAUAUAAUGUAGUAUGUCUACUGCAUAAUACCUCCAUAUACUGUAAUAUAAUGUAGUAUGUUUCUGAUAAUACCCUUAUCAGAAAUAAAACUCAUAAUCUCGUACAAAGAUUUACUGUCAUAAGAUCACUUGAGCGAUAAUUUUUUUUUUUUUUUUAAUAAAGAAAAUAAUACAUGCUUUAUGUUUACUGCAACAAUUAUCUAUUUUACUUUUUUUGUUGCAGAGGGUUUACAUGUCACCGAAUUCAGCUGUAAGUAAAGAAAGGACUCAGUAUUUGAAUAAGCAUCGCACUAUGUCUCAGGUACGUAGUUUUUUUUCAUACAUAUUUGAAAUAUCCAGUGAAUUGGUGAAAUAUGUUUGGAUUUGUUUCCCAAAUUGCGUCAGUUUAAAAUUUUAUACUUCCAUAAAAAUGGACAGAAUUGAUGAUUCCACAAUUACCAAAAUCUUGAGCUUCUUUAAAUCAUAACACAAUUGAUGAUUCCACAUCUAAAAAUGAUCUAAAGUGUGUGUUUCAUUUUCUUGAGAAUUUUGCCUAACUUAUUUAAAAUCAAACCCUGAUUAAUACUUCCACAUCUAAAAAGGGUAUUUUGUAACAUACAGGAUAGGAACCAUGGUAUCUUUGCGGCCGACUAUGAAGAACUCUAAAGUGCGUCUGGCUGAUACACAUUUUUUUAUGGUGGCCAAAAUUAUUAUUACAAUGAUUGCUGGAAAGAAUAAUCUAUUACUCUGAGAGUUAUUUUAAAAUAAUUAUAAUGAUGUGAUGAUGAAUAGUAGUAAUAUGUUUGGGUCAAUUACCCUCUUUUAGUCUUCAUUGAUCUAUUAGUCUUCAUUGAUCUAUUAGUCUGUCUCCUUAAUUGUUUGUUCUUAAUAUCGUGUUUGUAAAACAUUUUAACAUUCUAUUUGAUUUUGUAUUUUUAUCGGCUACAAAAUGUUUCUACUUGGUUUAAUUAUUUAAAUCUUGUUGAUAAUUACUCAAUUAGAUUUUUCGAAUCAGAUACAGUCUUUUUUUAGACCUUUACCUUCUCAUUCUCUUCUCUCACGUUUUGUCUUAUUUGAGAUCAAAGGUACAAGUGUGCAAUUAAUUAUACAAGAAAUUUAUCGAUCAACCAUACGAUACAGAUUCGAUGGCUGUGAUGCGUCAAAUAAAAUAAAUGGAUAGCAAUUGUUUUGGGGGUAUGUUUGAGAUUUGGGGGAUCUAAUUUCUUCUUUUUCUUCCUCAGUUCGUUCCUCCACAUCCCCACUGUGGCUUCACUGCUACGUCGAUUAUCGCCGCUGCAGCUGAGCUAAGAUUGUUUUCCAGGUUCUACAAUCUCACUCAUUUGUCAAUUCGUGUUUUUUUUUGUUUUUUUCCGUAAUAAAUGGGAUGGAUAUAGUAAAUCGUAUAUCACCGAAUUAGGGUUUCGUUUCUUCUUCUUCUAUCGUUUCAUGUUAUGGUCUAAUUGAAUUGUUGUCGUUUUGUAUUUUCUUUUAGACGAUAAGAUUCAAAAUUUGAAUGGUAAAAUUGGGGUUGUUGGGUAGUAAGAGUUUUUGGAUCCCCCCCAAAUCCUUUCUUCCCUAUUUUCCAUAUGCAUAUAAAUACUCCCUGAAUGAGAUCAAUGGUUUUAACUUCUGAUGUGAUGUUUACUUCCAAGGUUUCACCCAUAACUGGAUUAGGAGAUCGGGAAUGAAUAUUUCUGAUAUUUUGAUAAUUGAUUUAAAAACUUCCUUUUCAUGUUUUGUUUGGUCUCUUCUCUUUACAAUUAUUUUAACUUGAAUGUGUUUUGUAAAUUGUAAUAAUGUAAUAUAUAUUUUCUGUUUAUAUUGUGAUUUUUUUAUGAAGAGUGAGUAUUACCAUAAUUUUUAAAUGACAUGGAAGUAUGGAAUUGUUCAAAAUUCAUGAUAGACAAAAAAAGUGAGUUAUUACUUUAAAUGGAUUUAUAGUUAUUACUCUGCAAGUAGUUUAGUUUUUUAAUUUAAUUGAUGUAAUCUUUAUAGUCGUAAUUGACUGGCUGAUUUCAUAUAAAUAAAAGAAAAAAUUCCAUUUGGAAGAAAAAAAUCAUAGUUUACAAAGGGAUAAAACUAUGGGAAUAUGAAACGAACUGCCUUUUUUUACCAUGGAUUUCUAGGAGAAUAUAAUGUUCGAUCAAAACUGAUGGAACUUUUGUGGAUUUAGAACACCACCAAUAGUAUUGAACACUUGAACUUCAAAGAAGUUCUGACUAAAUUGCUGGAAAACUGGGAAUCACUUAGAUGUUUCUGCCUAGCUAGAGCUCAAAUAAACAACAAGAAACUUGCACAACAAUAGAUAAAUUAUAUUAUAUUACCAUUGAUAAUAAUAAUAACUUUUAUUGAAUAACCGUAUAUAUUGAGUUAUCUUUUAUUUAAUGAUUCCUACGACACUCUGAUCACUAGAUGAAGUAAAAAUUAAACAUAAAAAUAAAUCACUGUUUCUGUGAACAGAUAUGUGUAUUCUUUGAUGAUUUUCUAAUUCUUUUAAUUAUAUAAUGUAUAUUUUCUCCAGGGAAUCAUGAGGAACCUUCUCUUUCGCCCAAGAAAAAUUCUGGCGUACCGUCGUUACAUUGAAUUUUUUGAUAAAUCAGGAAGAUCAUUCAGCACACAAGUUGCCACCCCCACUGGAGCUAAAUCUCAAGUCGAACCUCCGCCGCCGCCGCCGCCGCCACCUGAAAAAACACACUUUGGUAAUUUGAAAGAUGAAGACCGAAUCUUCACCAAUCUCUAUGGUGUACAUACUCCUUUUCUCAAAGGGGCCAUGCAGCGCGGUGACUGGUAUAGAACGAAGGAUUUGGUUCUGAAAGGUUCAGAUUGGAUUGUGAAUGAAAUGAAGAAAUCUGGCCUACGGGGUCGAGGAGGUGCUGGAUUCCCAUCUGGUCUGAAGUGGUCUUUCAUGCCAAAAGUAUCCGACGGACGCCCUUCCUAUCUUGUUGUGAAUGCCGAUGAAAGUGAACCAGGGACCUGCAAAGAUCGAGAGAUAAUGCGUCACGAUCCUCACAAACUACUUGAGGGAUGCUUGAUAGCUGGAGUUGGGAUGCGAGCAUCUGCAGCUUACAUCUACAUUAGAGGUGAGUACGUGAACGAGCGUAAGAACCUUGAGAAGGCCAGGAAAGAAGCUUAUAAAGCUGGAUUGUUGGGGAAAAAUGCAUGUGGAU